GGGGUUGUGGCUCAGCGGUAGAGCACUUGCCUUGCAAGCAUGAGGCCCUGGGUUCGAGUCUCAGCACCACA
rnacentral:tRNA from 1 species